rnacentral:sRNA from 1 species
CCCUAGCCCUGAUAGUAGCGGAAAUCCUUGUGAGCCGGGGUUCGGCUCACAAGAUUGAAGUGGAUAGCAGGUAAUAGC